GAUGAACGCUGGCGGCGUGCCUAAUACAUGCAAGUCGAGCGAAGAGAGGAGGAACUUGCUCCGCUGGGGUUAGCGGCGGACGGGUGAGUAACGCGUGGGUAACCUACCUAUAAGACGGGGAUAACAUCGGGAAACCGGUGCUAAUACCGGAUAAUAUAUUUAAACACAAGGUUCAAGAGUGAAAGAUGCUUUUGCAUUCCCUUAUAGAGGUAUCCGCGCCGCAUUAGCUAGUUGGGAAGGUAACGGCUUACCAAGGCAACGAUUCGUAGCCGACCUGAGAGGGUGAUCGGCCACACUGGAACUGAGACACGGUCCAGACUCCUACGGGAGGCAGCAGUAGGGAAUCUUCCGCAAUGGGCGAAAGCUUGACGGAGCAACGCCGCGUGAGUGAUGAAGGUCUUCGGAUCGUAAAACUCUGUUAUUAGGGAAGAACAAAUGUGUAAGUAAAUAGCCCCGCAUUGACGGUUAAUAAUCCGAAAGCCACGGCUAACUAAGUG
rnacentral:rRNA from 1 species